UCUCCCUCUGUGUGUGGAAAGAGACCAAACUUAACCCUGUGAGGACGUUACAGAGUCCGUAGGUGAGCUGUGAUUAUAAACCCUGUGAGGACGUUACAGAGUCCGUAGGUGAGCUGUGAUUAUAAACCCUGUGAGGACUUUACAGAGUCCGUAGGUGAGCUGUGAUUAUAAACCCUGUGAGGACGUUAGAGUCCGUAGGUGAGCUGUGAUUAUAAACCCUGUGAGGACGUUAGAGUCCGUAGGUGAGCUGUGAUUAUAAACCCUGUGAGGACGUUACAGAGUCCGUAGGUGAGCUGUGAUUAUAAACCCUGUGAGGACGUUACAGAGUCCGUAGGUGAGCUGUGAUUAUAAACCCUGUGAGGACGUUACAGAGUCCGUAGGUGAGCUGUGAUUAUAAACCCUGUGAGGACGUUAGAGUCCGUAGGUGAGCUGUGAUUAUAAACCCUGUGAGGACUUUACAGAGUCCGUAGGUGAGCUGUGAUUAUAAACCCUGUGAGGACUUUACAGAGUCUGUAGGUGAGCUGUGAUUAUUUGUAUUUAUUAUGGAUCCCCAUUAGUUCCUGCCAAGGCAGCAGCUACUCUUCCUGGGGUUUAUUAUGGAUCCCCAUUAGUUCCUGCCAAGGCAGCAGCUACUCUUCCUGGGGUUUAUUAUGGAUCCCCAUUAGUUCCUGUCAAGGCAGCAGCUACUCUUCCUGGGGUUUAUUAUGGAUCCCCAUU